CACGUAGGGACCAAGCGUUGUCCGGAUUUAUUGGGCGUAAAGCGCUCGUAGGCGGUUCGGUAAGUCGGGUGUGAAACCCCUGGGCUCAACCCGGGGACGCCACCCGAUACUGCUGUGACUCGAGUUCGGUAGGGGAGCGGGGAAUUCCUGGUGUAGCGGUGAAAUGCGCAGAUAUCAGGAGGAACACCGGUGGCGAAGGCAGCCUCCUGGGCCAGCACUGACGCUCAUGCACGAAAGCGUGGGGAGCAAACAGG
rnacentral:rRNA from 1 species